AUGGCUCCGCCGCCGCGCACCACCGCGCCCAUUGGCCACCUCGAGCUGCACGGCUUGUCCAGGAGGACGGGCGUGCUCCUCUUCAUCGACCACACCCCGGGGUCGAGGCCGAGAAGCACCACCAGUGACGCCCGCGCCCGUUCCCCUCGUCGGCGUCCACCUCGGCCACCGGUUCGAUCCGCGGACGUCCGACCCUCGGCCCCCUCGACCUCGUCGCGACCCUCACUAUGCUGGAGUCCAGGAGCCAGACGCCACCCUCGACGACGACGACUCCUACUACACCGGAGGUGCCUACUACUACGUGCAACCCGCUGA
rnacentral:rRNA from 1 species